ensembl:lncRNA
CCUUAAUUCAUUUAGACUCUUUCCCAAAGUGUAGUCUUUGGCACUACCGCCGCUGCAAAGGGAUUUUAGGUGGUACCAACGACCUGCUUUACGUCACCGCGGCUGCUGUAAGGAGGCUCGGCCGUAGAGGAGACCAAGCACAGACAGAGGGAGUUACUUAUGGAGGUCACGCUGGUUAAGCAGCACAGCGUCACUGUCUUGCACCACGUUGGUUACAGUGCAGCUGGUUGUGUGGGCCGUUUGGUCAUCUGAGCUGGACUCUGGAACAAGCUCUGCAACACUUACUCCUGUAUUCAUGGAUGGCUGCGGGCUGUAGGCGGUUGUGCUGGUCUUGUCAGGGCCCUCUCAUGUGCCUGGGGCCUUAGCUCUUUUGAAUUGGAUUUCUACCCCUGAUUGACUGGGGGAUUUGCAGAGGUGAUGACAUUAAAGCUGAGUGCAAUUUAAUUUGAAAAAAUAGGAAAAGGAGUUGGAUGAAGGAAGAAGAAAUGAGGUACUAAGGGGUCACACUGGAUGGAACAAAUUUAGCUCCCUGCCUUCAUGCAGCUCAUCGCCUAGGAGGUGAAGACA